GGCAGCGCCGCGGCCGGGAGGGACCGAGCGGGGAGCAAGGCCUGCGGGGAGGCGCAGGAUGGACGCGUUGGCUGUCAUGAUGUAGGACCUCCUGACCUAGAACCAUGCCCGGCGCAGGGAGAACAACGAGCUUACGGACCGGGUGCGGGGGCUGCUGUGCGAGAAAGCCUACCUGCUGGCCCGGGAGCGUUCGCCGGCCCACCUGGUGGCUUUCCCUGGACGUUUAACGGCGACUCCGCCCGGCCUCCCGACUUUUUGAUGCAGGCGUUCUCUUACAUGACUUUCUUCGAGGCUAGAUUCUCGAAAGACAUCCUGAAGGUGGCUUUCUUAAUUAGCUGCCUCACCGGCUGGCGGAGCAGUUCGUAGUCGCCUACAUCGAGAGGGAGAGCCCCGUCCUGGCUCAGUACUGGGGCUUCGUGGACGCGCUGUAGCGGGUCUUCGCCGUCGUGGGUAGGAAACAGUCGGGCCGGAUCCCCGGUGUCUGGGGAGCGGCUGCCGGCCGGGCCCGCGCGAGCCGCUUCACUCCUACAAGCCCGGCUCACUAGUUCCAAGCUGCUGGACUUUGACCCUCGCUGGGAAGCUUGAUCGCCGCCUGUUCUCGCCAAUCUCUAUGCCUUUGCACUGCCCAGCAACCCGGUCACUGCCCAGGACCUGUUAAAAGUUGAAUGGACCUCCCAGAAUCACGCCGCUGCCACCGCCGUUUCUAGAGACGGCUUUUGGCCACCUUUGAGAAUCAGGGUCAAACUUGGAAGGGCCUGCAUUUGUCACACUUCCUCGGACACUAAUUUGGAUAGUUCAGGCCCAGAGACGGCUUCCCGGGUUAGUGUGCCUGACAACACUGAAGAAAAAUUGUGACAUUUUCCUUCCCCAGAAUUACUUCGUUUUAUACAUUUCACUUCUCUUCUGAAAUCACAGCAAUGCCAGUUUGCGCCUUUUGGUCUGAGGAACGCAGGCCCUGGCCACUACCAGGAAAAAGUAUUUACUUUUAAAACUUGAAUGUAUAUCUUUACCGUAUGCCUAGUACAGUAGUGCUUGGAAGAAACAGAUUAGUAAGACAAAAUAUAUGUCUUCAAGAACACUUACGUUCUGAGAAAGAAUUCUGAAUGCAGAUUCUAAUGUCUGAUCCUUUGCACAUGGCCUGCUAUCAACAAUCCUCUACAAUGAUUCUCAGCAUCACCUAGGGAGCUUAUGUAAAAUCUCAAAUUCCUGGGCCCUAUCCCCAGAGUUUCUUAUCAAGUAAGUCUGCAUUGGGAUCUGAGGAUUUGCAUCUCUAACAAAAAUUCCUAGGCGAUGCUCACACUGUUGGUGUAAGGUUUCCUUGAUGGAGAACUAUCAAAGCAGUCAAAGCUAUCAAAAUAAAAAAGAAUUCUGAUUGGGUGCAGUGGCUCACACCUGUCAUUCCAGCACUUUGAGAGGCCAAGGUGGGCAGAUCACAUGAGGCCAGGAGUUCAAGACCAGCCUGGCCAACAUGGCAGAAACCCCAUCUCUACUAAAAAUACCAAAAUUAGCCGGGCAUGGUGGAACACACCUGCAAUCCCAGCUACUCGGGAGGCUGAGGCAAGAGAAUCGCUUGAACCUGGGAGGCAGAAGUUGCAGUGAAACAAGUUGGUGCCAAUGCAUUCCAGCCUGGAUGAUGGAGCGAGACUCUGUCUCAAGAAAAAAAAAACAAAAACAAAAACAGAACUCUGCCUCAUAGCGUCUUUUAAGUUAUACACUGGACCUAUCCUUUCCUCACUGACAGACAUUUUAAAAAUUUUUUGGUAAGGCCUAGUUCAUAUAAAAUGUAAUCCAAGCCAAAAGUUAACAAGAAUAAGGGGAGGAAAGGGGACUCCAAUAGCAGAGAAAGGUAUUUACCUGGGAUAUACACUGCAAGAAAAUCAAAGCUAUAAGAAACGUCCAUGAAUAGUAGCCAUAAGGCAUCAGAGUGAUAAAAUUCCUGUCCCUAGGAGGGAAUAUUGGAGUUUGCCAGAGAAACAGAAUGAGAGAGACAGAGAGGUUUAUUGUAGGAAUUGGCUCAUAUGAUUACGGAGGCUGAGAAGACCCACGAUCUGCCAUCUGCAAGCUGGAGAAUCAGGAAAGCUGGAGGUGUAAUUCAGUCAAGUCCAAUGGCCAGAGAAGCAAGUGUACUGAUAUCCAAGAGCAGGAGAAAAUAGAUGUCCCAGAACAAGCAGAGAGGCUGAUUUUGUCCUUCCUCUGCCUUUUUGUUUCAUAUGGGGCACUGAAUGGACUGAUGCCCAUCCACAUUAGUGAGGGUGGAUCUUCUUUACUCAGUCUACCAGUAGAAAUGUCAAUGACUUCCAGAAACACCCUCACCAACACACGUGGAAAUAAUGUUUUACCAGGUAUCUGGGCAUCCCUUGGUUCACUCAAGUUGACACAAAAUUAACCAUCACAGAAGGAGACUGGCCUUACUCUGAAAUUAGGAAACUAAAGAAGUGACCAGAAUGGAGACUAGGUAGAGACAACUAGUUCUCUACCAAACAUGUACAGUUAUUCGUUGGUAUCUGAAGGGGAUUGGUUCCAGGAACUCUCAGGGAUACCAAAAUCUGCAGGUGCUCAAGUCAUUUAUAUAAAAUAUUACAGUAUUUGCAUAUAACCUUUGCACAUCUUCCAUAUACUUUAAAUCAUCUCUACAUUACUUAUAAUAAUGAAUGUGUAAAUGCUAUGAAAAUAGUUACUACACUAUUGUUUAUUUGUAUUUUUAUUGAAUUGUUUUGGGGUGGGGGGCAGCUGUAUCUUUCUUAGUAAUAGAACCCCUGGUUUUAGCUGGGCACAUGACUGCCCUCAAUAAAGAUUAAAGUACCCCAGCCUUCCUUGAGAUUGUGGCCAUGUGACUGAACUUUAGACAGUGAGAUAUAAGCAGAUAUCUUCUGUGGCAGUGUUAGGAAACUAUUAAAGACAGUAAGAACAUUGCCCUUUGCCUUCUUUUUCCUUUCUUCAUUUUUCUGCCUGGAAUGCAAAUGUGAUGGCUAACACCCUAGCAGCCAUUUUAGAUUAUGAAGAUGAGAGUCACUCCCCAGGAAGGGUGGACCUGAAAGCUGGAUUCUAGAUGUGGAAUGACAAUACCAGCCCUGGACUACCUACCUGUAGGCUGUGUGUGUGUGUGUGUGAUUGACAGAGAGAGAGAGAGAUAGAUACCACAAGUAACACAAAGCAUCAUACCUGGGACUGGGAAGGUUAAUGUUUAAACAUUUUAAAUGUGGCAUUGGUUUGUUGAAGACAGUCAAGCAGUAGGUGCUGCAGGCUUUGUUGAGGCUAGAAAGCUGUUGGUCUUUAUUAGGUGAUGGCAAAACAAUGGAUCACAUUUUCAUGUGCUGUGUCUUGGGAGGCAAAUGAUGAGAAUGUAGGAUUGGGGAAAAUGGUAAGGAAAAUCCAAAAUGUUCAUGUUUUCUAACCCCUUCUUGCCAAUCUUAAAAGAAGGACAAACAGGCUAGAUUAAGCAAGUCUACAGUUACAAUUGGAAGGAAACACAGCCGUACUAAGGAAGUACUCUGUCUGUGGCCUGCAGUCUAGUUUGACUAGGUCCUGUAUUUGAGCUUUGAAAGAGUAAAGAAUACAAGUGCUCGUAUACCCCUGAAGUAGUUACCAGCAGUGACUGCAAGGAGGUAAUCUUAUGGGAUGAAACUAUAACUCUGUAUUAACCAUCAUAUAUAGCAUAUAUGUGUAUAUGUAUGUGUGUGUGUGUAUAUGUGUAUAUAAAUAUAUGUGUGUGUAUAUACACACAUGUACACACCCUACAACCCAGUGAUUUCAAAAAAUUAAACAUUUGUUUAGCUCAUGAAUCUGUGGGUUGGGUGAACAUUUCUAUUGGUCUUGGCUGGGCUCACCUGUACCCAGUCAGCUGCAGGGUCUAGCUCUUCUUAUCUUGGCUGGGAUCUCACACAUGUCUAGGAUCAGCUGCUUUACUAGUCUAGGAUUGUCUUGGCUGAGACAGGUGGACUACUCAGUUCUCCUCCACUGCCUUAUCCUUCAGCUGGCCAGCCCAGAAAUGUUGCCAUGUUUACAGCAUAAGAGCAAGCAAGAAAGAAUAAUAUGCAACCACUUUUCCAAGCCUAAGGUGAAAGGGCGGGCAGAACCUGUGGUGUUAGGAGGCAACUCAUACCAGCCCAUGGGUCUACCGUUUAAUUUUCAGAAAUUUGGCAAGCUGAUUGUUAACACAGCUGUUGUUUAAUUUAUGUACUUGUAAUUAAAUAAUUUACAUUAAAACAAAGA
ensembl:lncRNA LINC00667 long intergenic non-protein coding RNA 667